CAGGUCCAGCUUCCUCAGUCUGGUUCUGAGGUGGGGCGGACUGGUGCCUCAGUGAAGAUGUUCUGCAAGGCUCCUGGCUACACAUUCACUAACUACUAUAUGUAUUGAUUAAAGCAGAGUCAUGGAGAUAGCCUAGAGUGGAUUUGAUAUAUUUAUCCUGGAAAUGGUCUUACUAGCUAUGCCAAGAAGUUCAAAGGCAAGGCCACAUUGACUAUAGACAAUUCAGCCAGCACAGCCUACAUGCAGCUCAGCAGCAUGACAUCUGAAGCCUCUGAUGACUAUUGUUGUGCUAGA